rnacentral:rRNA from 1 species
CCUACGGGUGGCUGCAGUGAGGGAUAUUGCGCAAUGGGCGAAAGCCUGACGCAGCGACGCCGCGUGGGCGAGGAAGGUCUUCGGAUUGUAAACUCCUUUUGCAGGGGACGAAAAAAAUGACGGUACUCUGCGAAUAAGCCACGGCUAACUACGUGCCAGCAGCCGCGGUAAUACGUAGGUGGCGAGCGUUACUCGGAAUCACUAGGCGUAAAGCGCGUGUAGGCGGUAUUUUAAGUCUGUUGUGAAAUCUUAUGGCUCAACCAUAAAAGGUCCACAGAUACUGAAGUACUAGAGUGAGGCAGGGGAAACUGGAAUUCCAGGUGUAGCGGUGAAAUGCGUAGAUAUCGGGAGGAACGCCAAAGGCGAAGGCAGGUUUCUGGGCCUUUACUGACGCUGAGACGCGAAAGCUAGGGGAGCAAACAGGAUUAGAUACCCGGGUAGU